GAUGAACGCUAGCGACAGGCUUAACACAUGCAAGUCGAGGGGCAGCACGGUGUAGCAAUACAUUGGUGGCGACCGGCGCACGGGUGGGUAACGCGUAUGCAACCUACCUAUCAGAGGAGAAUAACCCGGCGAAAGUCGGACUAAUACCGCAUAAAACAGGGGUUCCACAUGGAAAUAUUUGUUAAAGAUUUAUCGCUGAUAGAUGGGCAUGCGUUCCAUUAGAUAGUUGGUGAGAUAACGGCUCACCAAGUCCACGAUGGAUAGGGGUUCUGAGAGGAAGGUCCCCCACACUGGUACUGAGACACGGACCAGACUCCUACGGGAGGCAGCAGUGAGGAAUAUUGGUCAAUGGGCGAGAGCCUGAACCAGCCAAGUCGCGUGAAGGAUGAAGGAUCUAUGGUUUGUAAACUUCUUUUAUAUGGGAAUAAAGUGAGGAACGUGUUCCUUUUUGUAUGUACCAUAUGAAUAAGCAUCGGCUAACUCCGUGCCAGCCGCCGCCGUAA
rnacentral:rRNA from 1 species